rnacentral:rRNA from 1 species
AGAGUUUGAUCCUGGCUCAGGACGAACGCUGGCGGCGUGCCUAAUACAUGCAAGUCGAGCGAUGAUUAGAGAUAGCUUGCUAUCUUUAUGAAGAGCGGCGAACGGGUGAGUAACGCGUGGGAAAUCUGCCGAGUAGCGGGGGACAACGUUUGGAAACGAACGCUAAUACCGCAUAACAAUGAGGAUCGCAUGAUUCUUAUUUAAAAGAAGCAAUUGCUUCACUACUUGAUGAUCCCGCGUUGUAUUAGCUAGUUGGUAGUGUAAAGGACUACCAAGGCGAUGAUACAUAGCCGACCUGAGAGGGUGAUCGGCCACACUGGGACUGAGACACGGCCCAGACUCCUACGGGAGGCAGCAGUAGGGAAUCUUCGGCAAUGGGGGCAACCCUGACCGAGCAACGCCGCGUGAGUGAAGAAGGUUUUCGGAUCGUAAAACUCUGUUGUUAGAGAAGAACGUUAAGUAGAGUGGAAAGUUACUUAAGUGACGGUAUCUAACCAGAAAGGGACGGCUAACUACGUGCCAGCAGCCGCGGUAAUACGUAGGUCCCAAGCGUUGUCCGGAUUUAUUGGGCGUAAAGCGAGCGCAGGUGGUUUCUUAAGUCUGAUGUAAAAGGCAGUGGCUCAACCAUUGUGUGCAUUGGAAACUGGGAGACUUGAGUGCAGGAGAGGAGAGUGGAAUUCCAUGUGUAGCGGUGAAAUGCGUAGAUAUAUGGAGGAACACCGGAGGCGACGCGGCUCUCUGGCCUGUAACUGACACUGAGGCUCGAAAGCGUGGGGGAGCAAACAGGAUUAGAUACCCUGCUAGUCCACGCGGUAAACGAUGAGUGCUAGCUGUAGGAGCUAUACUUCUCUGUAGCGCAGCUAACGGCAAUAAGUCAGUCGACUGGGG